UACAGAGGUCUCAAGCGUUGUUCGGAUUCAUUGGGCGUAAAGGGUGCGUAGGCGGCGCGGUAAGUCGGGUGUGAAAUCUCGGAGCUUAACUCCGAAACUGCAUUCGAUACUGCCGUGCUUGAGGACUGGAGAGGAGACUGGAAUUUACGGUGUAGCGGUGAAAUGCGUAGAUAUCGUAAGGAAGACCAGUGGCGAAGGCGGGUCUCUGGGACAGUUCCUGACGCUGAGGCACGAAGGUCAGGGGAGCAAACGGG
rnacentral:rRNA from 1 species